GGGGCUGUGGCUCAGCAGUAGAGCACUCACCUAGCAUGUGUGAGGCCCUGGGUUCAAUCCUCAGCACCA
rfam:Ictidomys tridecemlineatus contig051051, whole genome shotgun sequence.